UACGUAGGGUGCAAGCGUUAAUCGGAAUUACUGGGCGUAAAGCGUGCGCAGGCGGUUGUGCAAGACAGAGGUGAAAUCCCCGAGCUUAACUUGGGAACUGCCUUUGUGACUGCAUAGCUAGAGUGUGUCAGAGGGGGGUAGAAUUCCACGUGUAGCAGUGAAAUGCGUAGAGAUGUGGAGGAAUACCGAUGGCGAAGGCAGCCCCCUGGGAUAACACUGACGCUCAUGCACGAAAGCGUGGGGAGCAAACAGG
rnacentral:rRNA from 1 species